UCGGCUCGGGUCUGUGGUUGAAAGUCGAUGCUAGCCGCAGGCAAAACGACCCACGUAAGCCAACUUUUGGUUGGUGAGCAUGGUGCGGCUUAGGGGUAAGACCUGCCCGGCUCAAGCCGGAGAAGCGUAGUAGUGGCGACCGGGGGAUGAUCCUGAAAGCCCCUGACCGCUGCGGACCGUUCAGCAGGCGAGUGUGGGGUCAAAGACCAGGUCAGCCGGGCAUG
rnacentral:ncRNA from 1 species